rnacentral:rRNA from 1 species
AGACAAUAGAUACCCGGGUAGUCCUAGCCGUAAACGAUGAGAACUAGGUGUGGGGGGUAAAGUCCUCCGUGCCGACGCCAAACGCAUUAAAGUUCUCCGCCUGGGGACUACGGCCGCAAGGUUAAAAACUCAAAGGAAUUGACGGGGGCCCGGCACAAGCGGUGGGAGCAUGUGGAUCAAUUCGAUGCAACGCGAGGAACCUUACCUGGGCUUGACAUCCCGUGCAAUCCGAUGAAAGUCGGGUUCCGUAGCAAUACGGCGCGGAGACAGGUGGUGCAUGGCUGUCGUCAGCUCGUGUCGUGAGAUGUUGGGUU